GAUGAACGCUGGCGGCGUGCCUAAUACAUGCAAGUCGAGCGAACAGACGAGGAGCUUGCUCCUCUGACGUUAGCGGCGGACGGGUGAGUAACACGUGGAUAACCUACCUAUAAGACUGGGAUAACUUCGGGAAACCGGAGCUAAUACCGGAUAAUAUAUUGAACCGCAUGGUUCAAUAGUGAAAGACGGUUUUGCUGUCACUUAUAGAUGGAUCCGCGCCGCAUUAGCUAGUUGGUAAGGUAACGGCUUACCAAGGCGACGAUGCGUAGCCGACCUGAGAGGGUGAUCGGCCACACUGGAACUGAGACACGGUCCAGACUCCUACGGGAGGCAGCAGUAGGGAAUCUUCCGCAAUGGGCGAAAGCCUGACGGAGCAACGCCGCGUGAGUGAUGAAGGUCUUCGGAUCGUAAAGCUCUGUUAUUAGGGAAGAACAAAUGUGUAAGUAACUCUGCACGUCUUGACGGUACCUAAUCAGAAAGCCACGGCUAACUACGUG
rnacentral:rRNA from 1 species